UCUCGCCCCAGUCAGGAGGUACAAACAUUUCUUAACUUGUGUUCCUGAUUCCAUGCCGGAGGCUGUGCUCGCCGGAGACGCUGGAGCGGCGCGAGAAGCCGAGUUAUAAUAAAGGCAAUUACCUCACGAAAUUACCUUACGAAAACAAAGUUACUCUCUUGUAAUUCUGUCCUAUCGUGCCGCGCUGGACUUAAGUCUGCUUUACGAGGCACACGGAGGCUGUCUGCUCGCCUCCAUUAGGCUGCUGGAUAACGCCUGGCCAAAUACAUUAAUAAGUAUUAGCAGAGACUGAUCGAGGACGCGGAGAAAGAGACGUGGGGAGGAGCAGAGAUAUGAUAAUCUGCUCCCCCACAGCAGGUGAGUGAGCGAGUGAGUCAGUGAUUGAGUGAAAACAUUCUGAAAAGAGAGAAAGAGAUAAGAAAGAAAAAAAAAAGAGAAACAUGAGGCAAAAAAGAGACUCUGAGUGAUGAAUGAA
rnacentral:lncRNA from 1 species